AUAGAGACUCAGAGCUGCAUAUCAAUAAGCGGAGGAAAAGAAACUAACAAGGAUUCCCCUUAGUAACGGCGAGUGAAGCGGGAAGAGCUCAAAUUUGAAAUCUUCAAGGGUUUACCUUUACGAAUUGUAGUUUAAAGAAGUGUUUUCUGUUGAAGGUUUCGGUAAAAGUUCUUUGGAAUAGGACAUCAUAGAGGGUGAGAAUCCCGUAUUUGACCUUUACUUUCAACUUUGUGAUACACUUUCAAAGAGUCGGAUUGUUUGGGAAUGCAGUCCAAAAUGGGUGGUAAAUUUCAUCUAAAGCUAAAUAUUGGCGAGAGACCGAUAGCGAACAAGUACCGUGAGGGAAAGAUGAAAAGAACUUUGAAAAGAGAGUUAAACAGUACGUGAAAUUGUCAAAAGGGAAGCGUUUGACACCAGUGUUGUUUUUCUGAAAAUCAAUUAAAGGAACUGUUUAUGCUAAGUUGUUUAGGACUUUAUCAGCUAACUGUUUAGUUUUGAGCUUUUCUUUAAUGCACUCUUCAGUUAACAAGUCAACAUCAAUUUCUUUUGCUGUAAAAAAGCUUGAGGAAGGUGGCUUGAGAUUCGUCUUAAGUGUUUAUAGCCUCUUGCCUAUGCAGUCGGAGAGAUUGAGGUCUGCAGCGUAGAUCCUUCGGGGCUAAAUGCAUUUGUGCUAAGUUAUAGCAUUUUAUAGACAACUUGUUGACUAUGAUUUAGUCUUGUAGCUUACUCGCUUAUGCUAUUUUACCUACGCUUAGGAUGUUGAACUCUAUCACACACAG
rnacentral:rRNA from 1 species